rnacentral:misc_RNA from 1 species
AAAAUACACUAUAAUAAAGUCAUCUCCUUCGUCUACACUACUUUCUCUGAUUCAGCCAGACUUCAACAACGAAACCCAGAAACCAUUUUCUCUCUUUUUAACCUUUCUGCUGCAUCUAUGGCUCCCUUCCACUGCUCUGGCUCUCAUUUUAUUACUGGUAUUUGCUGCAUUUAUGUCAAAUAUAGAGGGAAGGGAGAUUUUUAUGACUAAUACAGGGCAAGACAACGAAAAGGAGAGUACCGUCCCUUCUUUGUUUGCAAGGUUGGUU